GCACUGAUAGUUCAGUGGUAGAAUACCUGCCUUCCAUUCGAUCGAAUCGUGAAAGCAUGUGGCACGGGUUCGAUUCCCGUUCAGUGCA